GGUUGAUCCUGCCAGUAGUCAUAUGCUUGUCUCAAAGAUUAAGCCAUGCAUGUCUAAGUUCAAGCAAAAAUAAUGUGAAACCGCGAAUGGCUCAUUAUAUCAGUUAUGGUUCCUUAGAUCGCACUUACUACUUGGAUAACUGUGGUAAUUCUAGAGCUAAUACAUGCGUUGGACUCCGAACUUUACGGUGAGGAGUGCUUUUAUUAGAUCAAAGCCAAUCGGGUCUUCGGAUUCGUUUAGUUGGUGACUCUGAAUAACUUUGCUGAUCGCACGGUCUUGCACCGGCGACGCAUCUUUCAAGUGUCUGCCUUAUCAACUGUCGAUGGUAGGUUAUGCGCCUACCAUGGUUGUAACGGGUAACGGGGAAUCAGGGUUCGAUUCCGGAGAGGGAGCCUGAGAAACGGCUACCACAUCCAAGGAAGGCAGCAGGCGCGCAAAUUACCCACUCCCGGCACGGGGAGGUAGUGACGAAAAAUAACGAUACGGAACUCAUACGAGGCUCCGUAAUCGGAAUGAGUACACUUUAAAUCCUUUAACGAGGAUCUAUUGGAGGGCAAGUCUGGUGCCAGCAGCCGCGGUAAUUCCAGCUCCAAUAGCGUAUAUUAAAGUUGUUGUGGUUAAAAAGCUCGUAGUUGGAUCUCGGUUUCGGGUGAAUGGUGCACCUUGCGGUGUUUACUAUUUAUUCGGACGAUUUUGUUGGUUCGUUCCUGGUUCUCUUAAUCGAGUGCCUUGAGUGGCCAACACGUUUACUUUGAAAAAAUUGGAGUGCUCAAAGCAGGCGCUACAGCCUGAACAUUAGUGCAUGGAAUAAUGGAAUAGGAUCUCGGUUCUAUUUCGUUGGCUUUCGGAGUCGAGGUAAUGAUUAAUAGGGACAGACGGGGGCAUUCGUACUGCGACGUUAGAGGUGAAAUUCUUGGAUCGUCGCAAGACGAACUACUGCGAAAGCAUUUGCCAAGAAUGUUUUCAUUAAUCAAGAACGAAAGUUAGAGGUUCGAAGGCGAUCAGAUACCGCCCUAGUUCUAACCAUAAACGAUGUCGACCGGCAAUCUGCUCUCGUUAAAUUAAUGACUGAGCAGGCGGCCUGCUGGAAACAAGAGUAUUUGGAUUCCAGGGGGAGUAUGGUUGCAAAGCUGAAACUUAAAAGAAUUGACGGAAGGGCACCACCAGGAGUGGAGCCUGCGGCUUAAUUUGACCCAACACGGGAAAUCUCACCAGGCCCGGACACCGGAAGGAUUGACAGAUUGAGAGCUCUUUCUUGAUUCGGUGGGUGGUGGUGCAUGGCCGUUCUUAGUUGGUGGAGCGAUUUGUCUGGUUAAUUCCGAUAACGAACGAGACUCUGGCCUACUAAAUAGAUGUCAA
rnacentral:rRNA from 1 species